rnacentral:rRNA from 1 species
AUUGAACGCUGGCGGCAUGCUUUACACAUGCAAGUCGAACGGCAGCGCGGGCUUCGGCCUGGCGGCGAGUGGCGAACGGGUGAGUAAUGCAUCGGAACGUGCCCAGUAGUGGGGGAUAGCCCGGCGAAAGCCGGAUUAAUAUCGCAUACGACCUGAGGGUGAAAGCGGGGGACCGAAAGGCCUCGCGCUAUUGGAGCGGCCGAUGUCGGAUUAGCUAGUUGGUGGGGUAAAGGCUUACCAAGGCGACGAUCCGUAGCUGGUCUGAGAGGACGACCAGCCACACUGGGACUGAGACACGGCCCAGACUCCUACGGGAGGCAGCAGUGGGGAAUUUUGGACAAUGGGGGCAACCCUGAUCCAGCCAUGCCGCGUGCGGGAAGAAGGCCUUCGGGUUGUAAAGCGCUUUUGUUCGGGAAGAAAUCCUCUGGGCUAAUACCCCGGGGGGAUGACGGUACCGGAAGAAUAAGCACCGGCUAACUACGUG